AUUGUGGAUAGUUUUGGCUGCACAAUCGUUUGCUUUCCCGUGAUCGGGUGUUCCCUCCCUCCGGGGCCAAGUAGCCCUCAGGAGCUUGUGAUGGUUAAUUUUAGGUGUCAACCGGACUGGGUUAAGGAAUAGCUAGAGAACUUGUAAAGCAUCACUUCUGGGUGUGUCCGUGAGGGUGUUUCCAGAGGACAGUGGCCUGGGACUUUGUGGACUGAGAGGAGGAGAUCUGCCCUCAUUAUGGGCAGGCACCAUCCAAUCAGCUGGCACCCGCAUAGAACAAAAAAGGCAGAAACAAAACAAAACAAAACAAUUUUCUCUCUCUCUCUCUCUCUCCCUCCCUCUCUUCUUCUCUCUCCUGGAGCUGGAACACACUUUUUUCUCCUGCCUUUGGACAUCGGAACUCCAGGCUCUCCAGGCUUUCCAGACUCUGGACUUAACAGCAGUCUCUGGACUUACAACAGCAGCCCCCUGGAUCCUCAAGCCUUUGGCCUCAGACUAAUAAUUAUAUCAGCAACUUCCUGGUUCUGAGGCUUUUGGGCAGCCAUGCUACUAGCAACCCAGCAGUUCCAGCAGAAGGCCUGUUGUGGGACUUCUCAGCCUCCAUGAGCAUGUAAGCUUGCUUAAAAGAACUCCAGAUGGCCCGGGAGCUGCAGGACCCUUUGCCAAUUAUCAGAGGAAGAUAAGGCCUGUGUGAAACCGGGACAAACCUGAACCAGCGACCCCGUGUUACCUUUAGAUCAUUAACAUAUCAUCAUAAUGCUAAAACCUCACCCAUAGAAGAUAAUUGCUGCCAUUUUCUGAAUAUACAUUAUAUGAAGAAGCAUGUUCAUGAUCUGCACCUGCACAUCUGGAGUUCCUCCCCAUACAUGUUUACGUACCUCCCUGCCCCACAUCUAACUCCUUAAAAUCCCCCAGCUUCUCAUAUCUCAGGGAGAAGGAGUCUUUAGAGAAAGAGCUCCCUCCUCCAUUCCUGGCCAGGAAUAAAACCUGCUUGCCUUUUUUCCCAAUUAGGUGUUACAGUAGAACUCAGUUACCCUGUAACAAUAAGAAUUGCAUUAAAUCCUUAUAUCAACUUGGGAAGAAUUGACAGCUUUACCAUAUUAAGUCUUCUAAUCCAUAAAUAAGUAUGUUCAUCCAUUUUUUUAGAUUUUUGAAAUUUCUUUCAUCAGCAUUUUGUAGUUCUUUGCCUCACUAUCUAGAUCCCAAAUAUUUUCUGUUUUUUUUUUCUGAAAGUUUUAUCUCUUACAAUUUAAACCUGAGUAGUUCUCAGCAUGCAAGCCCCAUACAUGUUUUGUUGGAUUUAAAUUUAAGUACUUUGGUUUUUGAUAAAUUGUAAGUGCUACUGUAUUUUAAGUUUCAGUGCCCAUGUGUUCCUUGCUGGUAUAAAGAAAUACAACAUAUUCCUGCAGUCUAGCUGAAGUCACUUAUCAGCUCUAGGAGUUUCUGUUUUUUGUUUUAUUUUUGGUAGAUCUUUGAGAUUUCCUACUUUGAUAAGCAUGUUAUCCACGAAUAGGGACAGUUUUAUUACUACCUUUCUGAUCUGUAUGCCUUUUAUUUCCUUUUCUUACCUUAUUGCAUUGGGUAGAACUUCUAACACUGUUUAACAAUAAUGGUAAGAGCAGUCAUCCUUGCCCUUUUCCUCUUCUCAGGGGUACAACCAUUCAGUCUUUCACUGUUAAGUAUGAUGCUGGCUGUGGAGUUGUUAUAGAUGCUCUUUAACAAGUUAGGACAAAUUCCCUCUAUUUCUCUUUUUCUGAGCAUUUUUAAAACCAUGAAUGGGUAUUUUGUGAAAUGCUUUUUCUGUAUUGAUUGGUAAGAUCAAUUUUCUUUUGUAUCCAGUUAGUAUGUUGGAUUAUGUUGACUGAUUUGUGAAUAGUAAAACUGCCCUGCAUUCCUGCAGUAAGCUUCGCUGUGUUACAAGAUCUUUGGGGUGUUGCUUUUCUGGCCAGAAACCUCUGUGGCCAGUGGUGCCUUUGCCCAAGUUUUGUUUGGGCUCACUGGGCUCAUUCCGCCCACUCGGCCUGGCAGGCUGUGCUCAGCUCAUGCUACCAGCCUGGACCCCAUGUCUGCCAAAGGCAAGUCAGGCAUGGAGUGGCAAGGGGUGUGUGAGUGAGCGUGGGGUCUGGCCACUGUGCAGUCAGACAUGUCAGCUGCUGCAGUGGGGUGGGCAGCUCCAGGUGCUGGCACAGGCACUAGUCCUCUGUGAGGCUGUGGCUGAGCCAGGCACACUGCACGCAGCUUCCACAGCUGGUACUGGGGAACAAAGUGGUGCCUGGAGGCUUGGAGAUGCCAGGAACCACAGGGCUCCCAAGAAAGAGUCAUAGCCCUGGCUUGGGGAGCUCCCAGGUCUGGGCUUCCCGAAGGGCCAUAGCUAUUCUUUCUUUCUCUUCACCCUCAAUGUAGUGAGCAAGGGGCAUGUUUCAACCCUGUUUGUGUUACAGCUCUUUUAGCCCUACCAUUCAAUGGGUCCCAAGUUCUUGUCCUAUAACCAGGAAGAAUGAGGUACCCAGACAAGUGGAGGGUGAGCAAGAUGAAAAGGAGCUUUACUGAGCGACAGAACAGUUUGGAGGAAACCCGCAGUGGGUAGCUCCUUUCCACAGCCAGGGUGUCCUGAUGAGUGUUCAGCUCCUAGCAAAGAGGAGGCCCUGGAGUGGGAAGCUCCUCUUUGCAUGCAGGUGGUCACAUUGUCUCUGCAGCUCUCAGCAGAGAGGAGGCCCUGGAGUGGGUAGCUCCUCUCUGCUGUUGGUCAUCCUAAUGUCUGCUCAGCUCUGGUUGAGCGCAGGGGUAUUAUGGGCUUCAGAGGGGGGAAAGUGUAUGCCAACUGGUCCAUGGGCAGGCCCAGAAAAGGCACCACAAGCUCCCACUCUGGUCUGUGGGGCUGGCAGCCCGACGCCAGCCUUCAGGCCCUCCCUGGCCUGAAGGUGGGGCCUCACUGGGGACCUGCCCCCUUCUGCCCAGGAGCCCAUCUGCCUCCUGCCACUGCACAUGGCACCCAGGCUGCUCACAGCAAGGGGCACCUACAGGCCAGGGCAAGCCGCCCUCAACUUCGUCAUUGUGUAUACUUUUUUUUACAUUGUUGAAUUCUACUUGCUAAUUUAAAAAAAUGUUGCAUCUAUAUUCAUGAUAUUAGUCUUUUGUUUUUUGUACUAUCUUUUUUUUUUGGUUUGAGUAUCAGAUUUAGUACUAGCUUCAUAAAAUAAAUGGGAAAGUCUACUCUCAUCUUCAAUUUUCUGGAAGAGAUUUUGUAGAAUUAGUGUUAAUUCUUUUUUAAACUUUUGGUAGAAUUGUCCAGUGAACUCUCCUGGUCUAGGAGCUGUUUUUAAAUUUUAGUUUUAAAAUUACAAAUUCAACUUUUAAAAUUCCAUUUCAUACUGGGUGAGUUGUAGUUUUUGAGGAAUUGGCCUGUUUAAUUUAAGCUGUCAAAUUUAUGUGGGUAGAGUUGUUUGUAGUAUUCCCCUACUAUCCUUCUGAUGUACACAGAGCCUGUAGUGAUAUCCCAUUUCAUCCUUGAUGUUUCAUUCCGUUUCACCCUCUUUCUUUUCUCUCCUUAUUACUGGUUGUGGGAAUGGGAAUUCCAGCUUCUCCCUAGGCCUCUACUAAGACCUCCCUGACUUGGGGGACAGUUGGGUGGGGCGGCUCAUGACUGCUCCCCAAGGGGCCUCCACUGACACAAGGGGUGGUGGCCUCAUUACCACUAGUUGGUGGUGAAAGUCCUGAUCCCCCUCUGGGUUUUCUGGUACACUGCCCCAGCAGAGCAGAGAGGGGCACCUCAUGACUGCUGGAUGGGAGUGGAAGUCCAGACUCCCCCACUGUCUUCACUGAUAUUGCAGGGAGCCCAUGGGGAGAGUUGGGGUGCCUCUUUACAGCCUGGUGUGGGUGGAAUUCUAGGAUCUCCACCUCUGCCUUUGCUUGUGUGAGUGUGGGUAGGGCCACAGUCUUUCUGUGGUGUUCGGCUGGAGUAGAGAGGUUAUUGUCUCAAGGUUUUCUGUCUCGUAAGGCUGCCCAUUUUCUGCUUUCUGUUUUGUUUUUGCUUUGUAUAGAGGGAGUAGGCUUUUGAUGGGGCUUUUCCCCCCAUCUCAAACACUAGAAUUUCCAGGUCGCGAGCUUCUUCAGUUCUAAGUCUGGGAUAUAUGAGGCAAAAUGAAAGCCAGGAGAAUGCACUAUGCGGUCCCAAGUUUCCUAGCUGGUCUGCCUUCUUUUCUCAACUUUUCAGAAUAUUUUUAUACUUGCUUUACAUACAAACUAAAUCUACUGAAAAAAUACAAUAAUCAAAAUAAAUGGAUGGGCUCAAUAGCCAAUAGAGGAGACAGAGGAAAAAAAAAUCACUGCACUGACAACUAUAACUAGAGAAAUCACCCAGACUGAAAAACAGAGAGAAAAUAAAUGGAAAAAAAUGAAUGGAGCUUCAGGGACCUGUGAGACUAUCACAGGGUCCAGUGUUUGUGUCAUCGAACUUGCAGAAGGAGAAGAGAAAGAAGACAAGGCUGAAAAGGUAUUCAAAGAAAUAAUGGCUGAAAGUUUCCCAAAUGUUCAGAGUUUUUAGUUGUCCUUACUGGGAGGAAUAGGGAGAAGCGUGUCUGCUCUAUCUUCCUGAAAGCUAAAGAACCAAGCACUGCUGGAUGGGGACCCAGGGUCUCCAAGCUGAGAAGAACACUGAUAAGGCAUGCACGGAAGCAGUCCUGGGAGGACUCUGCCACAGGCACAAACACCACUGGACACCCAAAGUCAUACUGCUGGGCGCUGGAGUCCAUUGCUUCUUCUGAGAAGAAUCGCUAACUUUUCUCGGGUCUUUGUACCUUUAGCCCCUGAUUCAAAGUCUUAGGGAGGCUCACCUAAGUGGCCAGUCGCAGGGAGUGUGCCCAGCCCUGCCUGUCAGCAGGUGUGGAAAGGAAAUGUACAGCAUUCUGCAGCAUCCCUGGUGGAAGCUGGAGCCUGUCUUCCAUUAAGCCGUACUCACUGUGGGAUUCCUCAAUUUGUCCAAUUAGGAGGUCAGUGCAUGAGGUUGCUGUACCCUCAUACCCCCGCAACACUCAGUUUUACUGAACUUCCUAAUAUUUGCCAAUAUAAUAGGUGUAAAAUUAUAUCUCAUUCUUGCAUCAAUUUGCAUUUCUGGGAUUAUUAACAUUUGUGAGCACCUCUCAUAUGAGUGUUAGCUUUUGAGAGUUCUCAUUCUGUAAAUUGCCUGUUUAUAUCCUAGAUAUAUUUAUGUUUACUGUGCUUCUGAAUGGGAGCUUAUUUUCCUGAGUCUUACAGACAUUUGAGACAGUUACAUUAUAAAAGUAUAUUGCUGAGUGAAGGGAUAAUCAUAAGACAUAGUUCUUUAAUAAUUCCAGAUUUGAAAAACAACCAUAUUAAAUGUUAUUAUUUGUGGGAGGUGAGAUUAUCUGACAUUUGUUUCUUUUUCUUCUCUUCUUUCUUCCUCUUCCUCUUCCUCUUCUUCUUCUUCUUCUUUUCUUUUUUUUUUUUUUUUUUUUGACAGAGUCUCGCUCUGUCACCAGGCUGGAGUGCAGUGUUGUUUCUUCUUUUGAAUGGAUACAUUCAACUUUACCUGAGCUCUUUGCUCCAGGAAAAUAGGAAUGGAUAAGAAAUGCUCCACUCUUGUGUGUUUCAGGAAAUGGUUAAUUGCAAAAAACACGCCUUCCCUAUAUGGCUUAGACCGCCCUUCCCUUAAUGACUCCCUUGUGUUAUAAAACCCCAAGUCUUUUUUAAACAUGUUUCUAAUUAAUGAACAUUCUCUCUAUUGCAGUAGCCUACAUACAACCAUCUCCUUAAUUGUCAGGUGCAUAUGUCCUACACACAUUUUAUUUUUUUAAAUAUAAUUUUCAUACAUAAUGAUUGCAGUUUCUAUAAACUUUUGAAAAGUACUGGUCAAGUAUUUUGUAGAAUAUCCCUCAAUUUGGGUCUGUCUGAUGUUUUCUCAUGAUUAGGCUAGAGUUAUGCAUUUUGGGAAAGAAUGUCAUGGAGGUGAUGUAUCCUUCUAAUCACUUCAUAUCAGGGAGCAUAUGAUAUCCACAUGACUUGUCACUGGUGUCAUUAACCUUAUCACUUGGUUCUGGUAGUGUCUGCCAGGUCUCUUCACUAUGAAGGUACUAUUUUCCUCUUUCCAUACUCUAUUCACCAAAUAUAAGUCACCAAGUGCAGCCCAUACUCAAGGGGAGGGAAUAAAGCUCCUCUUCCUUGUAUCAGAAUGUGUAAAGAUCUCUUAGGCUUUAAAAUCUAUAUAUUAUUCAGUUGCUUCUCCUGUUCCGCUUUUUAUUUGUUAGGGAACCAGAUCCUUUGUCCUACUUCCCCACACCUAGGCUUGCUGAUUGCAUCUCUGAGAAGUCAUGCAACAUGUUCCUUUGUUCCUGCCAUUUCAUGUACAUUGGUACCAGAGGCUUGAUUAGCUUUAUUUAUUUAUUCAUGAUGGAGUCUCGCUCUGUCGCCCAGGCUGGAGUUGCAGUGGUAUGACCUUGGCUCACUGCAACCUCUGCCUCCCAGAUUCAAGUGAUCCUCCAGCCUCAGCCUCCUGAGUAGCUGGGAUUACAGGCAUGUGCCACCACACCCGGCUAAUUUUUGUAUUUUUGGUAGAGAUGGGGUUUUGCCAUGUUGGCCAGGCUGGUCUCGAACUCCUGACCUCAGGUGAUCUGCCCACCUGUCUCCCAAAAUGCUGGGAUUACAGGUGUGAACCACCACACCUGGCCUUGAUCAGAUUUAGAUGCAAGUUUUGAACAUGAAUAUAUGGUGGUACAUUCUUUCAUCAGAAGGUAGGUAAUUAUUGUUGCUUCCCCCAUGUUUUUUGAGACAAUUGUUUCUGAGACAUCUGUAGCC
rnacentral:lncRNA from 1 species